ensembl:lncRNA
GGGUGAUCUUGACACAGAGAGAGAAGGGUGUGGAGAGAGAGGAAGGAGGAAAUAGUGUAGUGACGAUUUCCUAGUCUCUACUCAGCAUGAUGUGUUAAUUCAAAUAGAGAUGCUAAAUCUGCGAGAGAGAGGUUGAGUGUUCUUUCCCGUAGUAGCUCUUUGUCCUCAGAGAGUGGUUCUCUCCCAGUUCAGACAUUUCCUAGUCACCGCUGAGCCUGAUGUGCUAAUUCUGCGAGAGAGAGGUUGAGUGUUUGUUCUCGUAGCAGUUCUUUGUUCUCAGAGAGUAGUUCUCUCUAGGUUCAGACAUCUUGUCACCAGCCUUACAGUUUUCCCCCCUUGGCCCCAUGGGCUAUUCACAAGAGACCUUGCGGGGUCAUUGCAUUCGGUGUACGUGGAGUUUAAUACCUGUUGAUGAUCAUCAUUUCAGUCUUUGCAAGGUGGGUAGUUGUAGUGGGCUGAGAGCCAGUGCUGUAUCGGUCGAUUAAGGUUGUAAAUGUUAACCACAGCCAGUGAUCUUAUGUUUUACGUUAAAACUACAAUCUGGUCUUGAAAUAGUCAUUAGAGUACUCAAGACUCAUGUGUUAGCUAUGUCGAACUUUGUUCCUGAUCUCUCCUAAUGACAUUGUGUGGUUAUUUUUUUUACCAUAAAUAACACCAAAAAUGCCCUACAAAGGAGUAGAGCUGACUGUUUAAUUUUUAACUUAUAAUGCUUCUCCCCACAGUUCUGUCAUGUAUCAAGGAGGGAACUCUGGACUUAAUUUCCCAGCAGCCACUGCACCAUACUACAUCGUUGUCACAUGACAAUCUGCACCUGUCUCUAACAUCCACCAGUUCCGUGACGUCGUCAUGGAGGUGUGGAAGAGGACUCCAGUGGCAACCUGUGAAGCUCUGAUGAACUCCAUGUCCAAGAGGGUUAAGGCAGUGUUGGAAAAUAAUGGUGGCCACACAAAAUAUUGACACUUUGGGCCCAAUUUGGACAUUUUCACUUAGGGGUGUACUCACUUUUGUUGCCAGCGGUUCGGUUUAGACAUUAAUGGCUGUGUGUUGAG